GACGAACGCUGGCGGCGUGCUUAACACAUGCAAGUCGAACGGAAAGGCCCUGCUUUUGUGGGGUGCUCGAGUGGCGAACGGGUGAGUAACACGUGAGUAACCUGCCCUUGACUUUGGGAUAACUUCAGGAAACUGGGGCUAAUACCGGAUAGGAGCUCCUGCUGCAUGGUGGGGGUUGGAAAGUUUCGGCGGUUGGGGAUGGACUCGCGGCUCAUCAGCUUGUUGGUGGGGUAGUGGCUUGCCAAGGCUUUGACGGGUAGCCGGCCUGAGAGGGUGACCGGCCACAUUGGGACUGAGAUACGGCCCAGACUCCUACGGGAGGCAGCAGUGGGGAAUAUUGCACAAUGGGCGGAAGCCUGAUGCAGCAACGCCGCGUGCGGGAUGACGGCCUUCGGGUUGUAAACCGCUUUCGCCUGUGACGAAGCGUGAGUGACGGUAAUGGGUAAAGAAGCACCGGCUAACUACGUG
rnacentral:rRNA from 1 species